rnacentral:rRNA from 1 species
UAGGGAAUCUUCCACAAUGGACGCAAGUCUGAUGGAGCAACACCGCGUGAGUGAAGAAGGUUUUCGGAUCGUAAAGCUCUGUUGUAAGAGAAGAACGUGUGUGAGAGUGGAAAGUUCACACAGUGACGGUAACUUACCAGAAAGGGACGGCUAACUACGUGCCAU